rnacentral:rRNA from 1 species
UACAGAGGUCUCAAGCGUUGUUCGGAUUCAUUGGGCGUAAAGGGUGCGUAGGCGGCGCGGUAAGUCGGGUGUGAAAUCUUGGAGCUUAACUCCGAAACUGCAUUCGAUACUGCGGUGCUUGAGGACUGGAGAGGAGACUGGAAUUCAUGGUGUAGCAGUGAAAUGCGUAGAGAUCAUGAGGAAGACCAGUGGCGAAGGCGGGUCUCUGGACAGUUCCUGACACUGAGACACGAAGGCCAGGGAGCAAACGGG